GAAUAUGGGGGGACCAUCCUCCAAGGCUAAAUACUCCUGACUGACCGAUAGUGAACCAGUACCGUGAGGGAAAGGCGAAAAGAACCCCGGCGAGGGGAGUGAAAAAGAACCUGAAACCGUGUACGUACAAGCAGUGGGAGCACGCUUAGGCGUGUGACUGCGUACCUUUUGUAUAAUGGGUCAGCGACUUAUAUUCUGUAGCAAGGUUAACCGAAUAGGGGAGCCGAAGGGAAACCGAGUCUUAACUGGGCGUUAAGUUGCAGGGUAUAGACCCGAAACCCGGUGAUCUAGCCAUGGGCAGGUUGAAGGUUGGGUAACACUAACUGGAGGACCGAACCGACUAAUGUUGAAAAAUUAGCGGAUGACUUGUGGCUGGGGGUGAAAGGCCAAUCAAACCGGGAGAUAGCUGGUUCUCCCCGAAAGCUAUUUAGGUAGCGCCUCGUGAAUUCAUCUCCGGGGGUAGAGCACUGUUUCGGCAAGGGGGUCAUCCCGACUUACCAACCCGAUGCAAACUGCGAAUACCGGAGAAUGUUAUCACGGGAGACACACGGCGGGUGCUAACGUCCGUCGUGAAGAGGGAAACAACCCAGACCGCCAGCUAAGGUCCCAAAGUCAUGGUUAAGUGGGAAACGAUGUGGGAAGGCCCAGACAGCCAGGAUGUUGGCUUAGAAGCAGCCAUCAUUUAAAGAAAGCGUAAUAGCUCACUGGUCGAGUCGGCCUGCGCGGAAGAUGUAACGGGGCUAAACCAUGCACCGAAGCUGCGGCAGCGACGCUGAUGCGUUGUUGGGUAGGGGAGCGUUCUGUAAGCCUGCGAAGGUGUGCUGUGAGGCAUGCUGGAGGUAUCAGAAGUGCGAAUGCUG
rnacentral:rRNA from 1 species